rnacentral:rRNA from 1 species
GUUGAACGCUGGCGGAAUGCUUUACACAUGCAAGUCGAACGGUAGAGGGGGCAACCCCUCGAGAGUGGCGAACGGGUGUGUAAUAUAUCGGAACGUGCCCAGUCGUGGGGGAUAACGUAGCGAAAGUUACGCUAAUACCGCAUACGAUCUAAGGAUGAAAGCGGGGGAUCGCAAGACCUCGCGCGAUUGGAGCGGCCGAUAUCAGAUUAGGUAGUUGGUGGGGUAAAGGCUCACCAAGCCAACGAUCUGUAGCUGGUCUGAGAGGACGACCAGCCACACUGGAACUGAGACACGGUCCAGACUCCUACGGGAGGCAGCAGUGGGGAAUUUUGGACAAUGGACGCAAGUCUGAUCCAGCCAUUCCGCGUGCAGGAUGAAGGCCCUCGGGUUGUAAACUGCUUUUGUACGGAACGAAAAGGUCUCUCUUAAUACGGGGGGCUCAUGACGGUACCGUAAGAAUAAGCACCAGCUAACUACGUGCCAGCAGCCGCGGUAA